CAGUCGCCACGGUAAUACGAAGGGGGCUAGCGUUGUUCGGAUUUACUGGGCGUAAAGGGCGCGUAGGCGGGCGAUUAAGUCAGGGGUGAAAUCCCAAGGCUCAACCUUGGAACUGCCUUUGAUACUGAUUGUCUUGAGUUCGAGAGAGGUAAGUGGAACUGCGAGUGUAGAGGUGAAAUUCGUAGAUAUUCGCAAGAACACCAGUGGCGAAGGCGGCUUACUGGCUCGAUACUGACGCUGAGGCGCGAAAGCGUGGGGAGCAAACAGGAUUAGAUACCCCCGUAGUCCCUGUCUCUUAUAA
rnacentral:rRNA from 1 species